CCUUCGAACGAUGACGGAAGGAGCUUUCCAGCCGGGACGGUUGGUUCUCUGGGCACCAAACGACUAGCUAGCCCGAUGGCAAAGCUGCGCAGCCGCGAAGGGACACUCACCGAGGCCUCGCUGGCUUCCGCGUUCUCCUCCUCGACAAAACACUGCACCGGAUUGGGUGACGUCAGGACGCCCCUCGCGCUCCCUCAAUGGUGGAUCGGAGGCGGGGUCGAGAGUGGGAACGCCUCCCGCAAAGGAUGGGGCGGCAAUGUAAUGUGACGUCAGGGCCCGCCGGAAAAUAACGAACGCGGCUCGCUCUGGGAACGGAGCGGGAGGCGCGGCCUCCCUGUAAUUGCGCGGGAAGGGCCAGACUGGUUCGGCCCGAAGAGUUCCCGUUCGCUGCUUUCCAAAGUUCCUGCCAGGAGCCGCGGAAACUUCCGGGGGCGGACAGCCGAUUCCGCUGCGAACGUGGCAAAAUCAGAUUCUUGUUAAGCGACGAUUAAAAAAGGAUUUUUAAAAAAA